AUCCUUUUGUAGUUCGUAAGUGUAAUGACUGGGUUUUCAUGUUCCUCUGUGAGGUAUACCUCCCUCAAAUCUUGUUACAACAUCAGCACAUGACCCAUCUGAUG